AACUAAGUGGGGAAAGAGAAACCAAGCAGGAAAACAUGAUUAUUAGUGUGCAUAAUGCAGGGAAUCGAAUCAGGAAAAUUGGUUGCAAGGGGAGAACCAUUUCUGGAGAAGGCAUCUGUAAGCACAUGGCUAUUGUUUAAAUGAAGCCUAGUAUUAAAUUUGGCUACAGCCUAACAGUUCUGGCUCUCAACAAUGUUCAGUUUCAAAAAUAUAAAUGCCCAUAAAAAUCCUGUACAAUACCCACCUUCCUCACCUUGUCAAUUUAGAUUUCUCAAUUGCAGCUGAAACCAAUCCUAGAAAAUCUUCCACUCUUUAAAUGUGUAUCUGCUAUGCUUUUGGAUCGUACAUUUUCAUAGAUAAAUCAAAGUAAGUGGUGUCUGUACAGGUAGUCGUCAACUUAUCAUCAUUCUUUUAGUGACCAAAAU